rnacentral:rRNA from 1 species
GACGAACGCUGGCGGCGUGCUUAACACAUGCAAGUCGAACGAAGUGGCGAACGGGUGAGUAACGCGUAAUUAACCUGCCCUUCAGAGGGGGACAACAGUUGGAAACGACUGCUAAUACCGCAUACUGAAGGAGGGGAUUGCGUCGGAUUAGCUAGUUGGAGGGGUAACGGCCCACCAAGGGGAUGAUCAGUAGCCGGUCUGAGAGGAUGAAGGGCCACCUUGGGACGGAGACACGGCCCAGAAUCCUACGGGAGGCAGCAGUAGGGAAUAUUGCGCAAUGGGGGAAACCCUGACGCAGCAACGCCGCGUGGAGGAUGACACUUUGCGGAGCGUAAACUCCUGUUGUUAGGGAAGCGGUACCUAACGAAUAAGCACCGGCUAACUCCGUGCCAGCCGCCGCGGUAAUAC